CAGAGCCGUAUACUCCGAGAGGGGUACGUACGGUUCCCGAAGAGGGUGGUGCAAACCAGUCACAGUAAUGUGAACAAGGCGGUACCUCCCUACUUCAC
rfam:Lactococcus raffinolactis 4877 genomic scaffold, Scaffold1477